rnacentral:rRNA from 1 species
CUUACACAUGCAAGUCGAACGGUAACAGGUCUUCGGAUGCUGACGAGUGGCGAACGGGUGAGUAAUACAUCGGAACGUGCCCGAUCGUGGGGGAUAACGAAGCGAAAGCUUUGCUAAUACCGCAUACGAUCUACGGAUGAAAGCAGGGGACCGCAAGGCCUUGCGCGAACGGAGCGGCCGAUGGCAGAUUAGGUAGUUGGUGGGAUAAAAGCUUACCAAGCCGACGAUCUGUAGCUGGUCUGAGAGGACGACCAGCCACACUGGGACUGAGACACGGCCCAGACUCCUACGGGAGGCAGCAGUGGGGAAUUUUGGACAAUGGGCGAAAGCCUGAUCCAGCCAUGCCGCGUGCAGGAUGAAGGCCUUCGGGUUGUAAACUGCUUUUGUACGGAACGAAAAGACUCUGGUUAAUACCUGGGGUCCAUGACGGUACCGUAAGAAUAAGCACCGGCUAACUACGUGCCAGCAGCCGCGGUAAUACGUAGGGUGCAAGCGUUAAUCGGAAUUACUGGGCGUAAAGCGUGCGCAGGCGGUUAUAUAAGACAGAUGUGAAAUCCCCGGGCUCAACCUGGGAACUGCAUUUGUGACUGUAUAGCUAGAGUACGGCAGAGGGGGAUGGAAUUCCGCGUGUAGCAGUGAAAUGCGUAGAUAUGCGGAGGACACCGAUGGCGAAGGCAAUCCCCUGGGCCUGUACUGACGCUCAUGCACGA